rnacentral:lncRNA from 1 species
GAAUAAAUAACCCCGUUGAGGAAAAUACAUAUCUUAGGCUUAAGAAAACAAUUAGACGGCAUAUGGAUUUUUCUCCAGGAAGAAUCCAUUCCAAGAGUUCGAAUUCUAGUAUUAAUGACUCGAUUCCAUUGUUUUUUCGCACAAAAAUAUGAAGCAAUUUGUAUUUUCCCGUUAUCGAAUCAAAUCCCAGAAAAAGUUGAGGAUCCAAUGGAUAUUGAGCCUGAAUUUCUUGAUUCAUAGAGAAUGUCAAAGCUUUUAUCUCUCCUGUUGUGACAUUAUACGAAUAAGUCUGAGUAUCUUUAAAG